GCAGUCGAGCGGACAGAUGGGAGCUUGCUCCCUGAUGUUAGCGGCGGACGGGUGAGUAACACGUGGGUAACCUGCCUGUAAGACUGGGAUAACUCCGGGAAACCGGGGCUAAUACCGGAUGCUUGUUUGAACCGCAUGGUUCAGACAUAAAAGGUGGCUUCGGCUACCACUUACAGAUGGACCCGCGGCGCAUUAGCUAGUUGGUGAGGUAACGGCUCACCAAGGCAACGAUGCGUAGCCGACCUGAGAGGGUGAUCGGCCACACUGGGACUGAGACACGGCCCAGACUCCUACGGGAGGCAGCAGUAGGGAAUCUUCCGCAAUGGACGAAAGUCUGACGGAGCAACGCCGCGUGAGUGAUGAAGGUUUUCGGAUCGUAAAGCUCUGUUGUUAGGGAAGAACAAGUGCCGUUCAAAUAGGGCGGCACCUUGACGGUACCUAACCAGAAAGCCACGGCUAACUACGUGCCAGCAGCCGCGGUAAUACGUAGGUGGCAAGCGUUGUCCGGAAUUAUUGGGCGUAAAGGGCUCGCAGGCGGUUUCUUAAGUCUGAUGUGAAAGCCCCCGGCUCAACCGGGGAGGGUCAUUGGAAACUGGGGAACUUGAGUGCAGAAGAGGAGAGUGGAAUUCCACGUGUAGCGGUGAAAUGCGUAGAGAUGUGGAGGAACACCAGUGGCGAAGGCGACUCUCUGGUCUGUAACUGACGCUGAGGAGCGAAAGCGUGGGGAGCGAACAGGAUUAGAUACCCUGGUAGUCCACGCCGUAAACGAUGAGUGCUAAGUGUUAGGGGGUUUCCGCCCCUUAGUGCUGCAGCUAACGCAUUAAGCACUCCGCCUGG
rnacentral:rRNA from 1 species